GGCGUGGUGUUGCUUGAGAGGCGAACGUCACUGCUCCACUCCUCCACCAGCGGGUUCAAGUUCACCCCUGUCAUGGCGAAGCUCGUCCAGAGUGGGAUCUUCAGGUCUACGGAAUAGCCUAAGGGAUGAAGAAGGUGGUUAGCCUCAGAAACUUUAACGCAUGAUAUCAACCUCGUCCAUAAUCUCAUCUUCAGGUCUACGGAAUAGCCUAAGGGAUGAAGAAGGUGGUUAGCCUCAGAAACUUUAAUGCAUGAUAUCAAGCUCGUCCAUAAUCUCAUCUUCAGGUCUACGGAAUAGCCUAAGGGAUGAAGAAGGUGGUUAGCCUCAGACACUUUAACGCAUGAUAUCAAGCUCGUCCAUAAUCUCAUCUUCAGGUCUACGGUACAGCCUAAUGGAUAAAGAAGGUGGUUAGCCUGAUAAACUGUUUGAUAAGUUGUUCAGCGACUUAUUUUUAU